CAACUCUCACGGAGGAGACAGACGCCAAACCAAGGAGUGAGAGAAAGCAAGCAGUAGAGUUGGUGCUCAGGAGCUGCAGUCUGAAAUGCAGGUGUCGGCAGGCCGGUGGCCGCCAGCACGGAUCCUUCCUGAAGAUGCACCGCUCCGACCUCUGCCUGUCGUCACGUGGCGUUCUCGGUGUCUCCGCGUCUGUGUCGGAAUUUCCCUCUUCUAUGACACCAGUCACUGGGUUUGGGGCCCACCCUAGUAAGGUAUGACCUCAUCUUCACUGGGAUACUUUGCAAACCUCUAGUUCCAAAUAAAGCCACAUUCUGAGGCUCCCAGUGGACACACAUUGGGAAACAGAUGCUAAAUCAAGGAGAGCAAGACACACUCUCCACCCCGUACGAGUGCCAUGUGCCAGUUCACCCACGGGCACACUUCCGUGCCUCCCCACAGCCUCUCGCCACUGUCCCCGACCCACGGCACCCAGGCUAUCGGGGUCAGAGCGUGGACUGUUAUUUAAUACGCAUUUUAUUGAAUACUUUGUGCAUCGGGCACUCUCUUAGGGCUGCAAAUACAACCCCGCCCCCAGUGGCUCAUCCUCUCCUGGGGUGACAGGCAGAAAGCAAAUAAAGCCAGGUGGGGCCGCCAACACCUCCAAGCAGGAGACGGGCAGGAACCAGGAACCGACUGGAGGCUGGGGAGGGGCAGCCAUGAGGGGAAGCAGGUGGUGGCUGGAGCCGCUUCAAGCAGGAGGGAGUGGCCAGCUCUGCAGGAGAGGGGCUGAGCCGGAGGACUGAGGGGACCGCCAGUGGCCCUCAAAGCACCCCAAAUCCAACGAACACACAUUUUAAAGGAGGUGCAUCUCUGAAAAACAUGGAGGGGGGGUGUUGGCUUUCUUGUUUUUUAUGAUGAAAAAAUUGGGCUCAUUUUCUAACAUGGAAACACCCCCACACCACCCAAGCCCAGAUCAGAAAAAUCAUGCUCUGUCAUCGGCUUUCAAACAACUUUAUUAGAGGCUGUUUUAAAUGACAACUCCCAAUUCUUCUUAAUUUGCUUUUUCACAAAUUCCAGUUAGAACUAUGUUUAUACAGGACAGUAAUUUUUGCAUUGAUCUUUGCGUCCUAUUUAAACUGCCCAUCAGGCCAUUCUGGUAGAAUGAAAAGUGCAACUGUGAGGCUGCAGGUUGACCAGCACUACUGAGCAGAGGCGGCGGGGGGAGGGAGGGGGGCGCGGGGGCUGCGAGGGAGAAGCCCACUUCACAGGUGGGGCGGGCGCUGCCACCCUCUCCUCUAGCCCCCCAAACUCACAGUGAUAGGCACCUCGCUGCCUUGUCAUUCAGAAAGGGUGAAAUAGAGACCCUCCCGGUCCGAAAAAGGGUUUGGACUUCCAUCUUCAACGGAAUUGAGGUUUCUCCCACCCUUCCCAUCCCCCAUUGAACACUCAGGUCCUAAGGCUCCCCGUGUGCACGCGCGUCUCCCCAACCGGCCAAGGACCCUCUCUGGGACCAGGGCCCCCCCUCCGCUCCUGGCCCCUUUCCUGUCCUUGGACAGAUGCGACGCCGACGCCGGUGUGGGCAGUGGCAGGAGGGCCACUCCCACUUCCUCUCCUCACCCCACCUCUUGGGUGUGGGAAGGUACAAUCAACCAUGAACAUAAAUAUGAAUAAAAAAUGAACUUGAAAAUGACAGGUUAUUAAUUAAA